GAGGAAUAUUGGUCAAUGGGCGAGAGCCUGAACCAGCCAAGUCGCGUGAGGGAGUACUGCCCUAUGGGUUGUAAACCUCUUUUGUCGGGGAGCAAAAGCCGGACGUGUCCGUCUGUGAGAGUACCCGAAGAAAAAGCAUCGGCUAACUCCGUGCC
rnacentral:rRNA from 1 species